CGAUGGACCAAUGUAGGUAAGGGAAGUCGGCAAAACGGAUCCGUAACCUUGGGAUAAGGAUUGGCUCUGAGGACUGAGCCGGUCGGGCUGGGGACCUGAAGCAGGAACGGCACUGCACCGGGACUGGGCGGGGCUCGCCGUUCACGCGGCGCGGCCAAGCCCGGACCAGCGUCGGGACCUUCCCGUGGAAAGCCUCAGCUGCGCGGCGUCUGAGGGCUUCGUGCCCAAAGUGCUAUGCUUCGGCCGGCAAAAAACAGUCAACUCAGAACUGGCACGGACCGGGGGAAUCCGACUGUCUAAUUAAAACAAAGCAUUGCGAUGGCCGCUGGUCGGUGUUGACGCAAUGUGAUUUCUGCCCAGUGCUCUGAAUGUCAACGUGAAGAGAUUCAUCAAAGCGCGGGUAAACGGCGGGAGUAACUAUGACUCUCUUGUUUCCUAUGGCAUGCACGCCUUGGAUUCGGGGUGAGAGCAGAUAGUUGCUUGCCUAGCGCAAAGUCGAACUCCCACCUGCUCGUGGUGCCUGCCGCAGGACUAGUAAGCCUAAAGGGGGUGCAUCCCUGGUGAACUCGUCCUCAACGGGAGCAAUCGCACGUCCCCUGUCAGGGGCGUAGAGUGCGCGGGUUAUGCCCGUGUGCUCGAUCAGUGGAGCAAGCUCCGGCUUGUUCCAACAGAGGCUUGAGCCAAGCAAGCCGGGGAGGUGUCCCUGUACCAGGCCGGUUGGUAAAUUUGAGUGCGCUGCCGGUCCUGGUGCCACCGUUGGGUGGCCAUGUGUCGUGCGGCUCUGGUUGAAGGGCUGCGGAGCCUGCCGAUUGCCUCUGGCCGGUAUAAGGCGGUCUCAAACGACCGCUUCCGGUUCAGGGCAUUGACGUGGGCGAAGCGGCACGGAGACCGUGGGCUGAUGCACACUUAGCGGCCGACCUCAGUGUUGGUUCCGCGACCGGUUGCGCGGUCGGACGAGUUGGCGUCCUGGUAGGUGUGGCGGCCGCCCCCGGUUAUUGUGUGCCCGAGUGGGUCACACGACACGAAGCGUGGUCUUCGGGGGUGCACCACUCCUGCUAACCGGGGGCAAGUCGAUUCGACUGGCCCAAGGGGACAACACCGGAGUACAACCGCUCACGGUGCCCCGAGUGGCCGGCAGUCUAACGGCGUGUGAGGGGCUGAUCCACAAGGGGUCCUGCACAAGCCCGGGCGGAGGCAGCCGCACCAGGGCAAGAGAACCACAAGCCACACAAGCCUGGAGGGUGGUCCACAAGGGGCGGGUGGACUAAACUUGUGCGGUGCAUGCAGUUGUUGUGUGCGUCCUAAGUGAUCUUGCCCAGUUCACCGUGGUGCGGACUUUCAAAAUAACUUUUUUUUCUCUUCCUGUCGUGUCGACAGGGGGGCAUUACGUGUACACAGACCAUCGUGAUCGCCGUGUGGGCGAGGUUUGCGGGUUAAGCUGUCCCGAAAAUAACAGCGAAUACUUUGUUGGUGCAAUAAAGUCAUAUCAUAGCCAAAUGCCUCGUCAUCUAAUUAGUGACGCGCAUG
rnacentral:ncRNA from 1 species